rnacentral:rRNA from 1 species
CGCGAACGCUGGCGGCAGGCUUAACACAUGCAAGUCGAGCGGGCGUAGCAAUACGUCAGCGGCAGACGGGUGAGUAACGCGUGGGAACGUACCUUUUGGUUCGGAACAACCCAGGGAAACUUGGGCUAAUACCGGAUAAGCCCUUACGGGGAAAGAUUUAUCGCCGAAAGAUCGGCCCGCGUCUGAUUAGCUAGUUGGUGAGGUAACGGCUCACCAAGGCGACGAUCAGUAGCUGGUCUGAGAGGAUGAUCAGCCACAUUGGGACUGAGACACGGCCCAAACUCCUACGGGGGGCAGCAGUGGGGAAUAUUGGACAAGUGGGCGCAAGCC